UCUCCCCAAACCUCCGAUUCCGAUCUAAAUCCCACUCUUGAUGUGCGAGUGUUUGUUCUCUCCGUACGGGAGAGUUCUCCGCCACCCUUUGGAGUGGUUUCUUUUUCAUCUAGGGCUUAAUGGCGGCAAAGGAUUUAAGCGGUUCCUCUCUCCGAUGGCCACUAUGCGAAACAGGGUGAAUGGUUGGCGGAGGAGACGAGGGAAAUCGAAGGGGGUCUCGACUGAAUGAGAGCCAAAAGGGUGCGGCGCUGCUGAUGGGCGAUGAUUGGAAGCUGGCUCUGAUUCAUGCGAAGGGAGGAGAUGAUACUGGAAGGACUUCUUAAAUUACCAGAAAAUAGGGAGUGUGCUGAUCGCAAAACUAAAGGACCGAAAUGGGCUAGUGUGAACUUAGGCAUCUCAUGCAUGCAGUGAUCAGGAAUACAUCGAAGUCUAGGAGUACGUAUAUCAAAGGAAGAAGCAAUCUAUGAUUGAUGUGACUUCUGAGUUUUUUGCUGAGGAGACUAGUUUAAGGUUAACAACACUCCAAGCAUUUGAGAAUGGGGGAAUCGUGGCUUGGGAGUAAGUGUAGCAACUUUUGGUCAGACGCAGCAGAGAGAGAGAGAGUGUGUGUGAUGGAUGCUCUGAGAUUUCAUUCCUUCUUCCUCCUUCGAACCUUCGCAGUUUUUCCUUCUGUUUUCAUCGUUGCUGUCGCUAGCGUGAGUAACCACCCUUGCUUCAAUCGUCCGAAGUUGACAAGUCCUUAAGUUUGUCUGUUGCUGCUGCGCGUCUGCAAGAUCUCUUCGUUCUUCCCGUUUCCAGCUCAUAUCUACUGUGAUUUGUUGAGCUGCUACUCUUCUAUUACCGUUGUUGGAGGCUUGGUUGAUCAGAAAUUUUAGUUUUGCUCCCCCGUUCGUCCGUGCGUCACUGUAGAUGUUGCUGUAAGUGUCUGGAAAUCUUUAUCUUCCUCUACUGGUGCGUGUAGGAAUUUUCAGAUUUGUUAACUGACGCCGAUUCCACCAUUGACUCUGAAGGGCAAACUAGCUACAGCGGGUGGAAAUUUUUGAUUGGUACUGUUACUUUUAAUGUAAAUAUAUAAUUUGUAUGUCUUUUUGAUUUUUUUUUAAAAAGAGUAGAUGCUCCACAUAGAUUGUUGUUAGGAUUUUAUUUUGAUUUAUAUAGUGUUGCUGGCUGGAAGGAGCUAAGCUCCUGAUUGAUGCUGUUUUCUAAAAUAAAAAAAUAAAAAAAUUUGUUAUAGAACUUUUGGGAGAUCGUAUUUACAGGGAAGGUUCUGUCGAAAUUUCAAAAAAAGAAAUGUUAAAGUCUUAUUAUGACAAUUAAUAGUAGCAUUAGAAUUUUUAUACAAUCUGGUUAUUUUUAAAAUGAAAGAAAUUUUUAUUUUAAGGCUUACGGGAAUGCAUGAUAUAGUACGCACCCGUGCCAGUCAUUCUUUAUUUUCGAGGUGUGACAAAUUAGAUAUUUUAAAAUAAUUGUAUCAACUAUCAACCAUAGGAAAAUAUGUCUCUUCAUAAUUAAUACUAAGUUUUUGAGAAAAUUCUCAACUUAUUAAUCAUGCUUUAUAUCUAACGAUUUCAUUUUUCCAUUUUGUUUUUGCACAAAUACACAUUUAUAUCCCAUUGGCUCUACACUAUUAUGUAUUCACACCAUUGACCCAAAAACUUCACAUUUUGAAAGUGAAUUUAACCUUGCUUUGAAUUGCAUCUUUCCAUUUUGGCCAAUCAUUUAUGUGUAUACAUUGUUCAACCAAUUUCAGUUCUAGAUUUUCAUUUUGAUUCAUUAUUUUUACAGCAACAUUAUAUGAAAAUAUGUCAUCGAUAACUAUAUUUUUUUGAUUCCAUCUUUUUCCAUAGUGACAUAACUUAUUGCAAUCUCUUCAUUAUCUUCAGGUAGUUGGACCACUUUUAGGUUCUUCUAGUUAGUUAUGUCUUCGUACUCUGUUAGAGUACCAACCUCCUUAACUAUGUCAUCUAUGCUAUCUUUAUUUUGUGCUCCUUUCUUCUUUCUAGGAUUUUUAUCUUUGAAAUCAAUUAAUCUACCACACUUCUUUCUAAUUGUCCUACUGGGAUAUCAAUUAUAAUAGGAAUAUUUUUAGUUAGAAUAUGAGACUUGGUAAUUCUUUUAAAGUUAGUAAAUGCAUGUGGCAAUUGAUUUGCAAUAUUUUGUAAAUGAAUUUUUUUUAACUUCAAGUUCACAUUGUUUUGUAUGAG